rnacentral:lncRNA from 1 species
AGUGCUGGUGUCUGUACAGGCGCAGUCAAGCUUUCCGUGCUGAUGAAAAUGGCAUUACUCCCUGAAAACUGAGCUGCAUGGAAGAAAGGAAUCAUGCUUCUUUCACCCUGUGAGAUGUACUUGGGUGACCCAGUGGGAAGGAUUUAAGGCAUGUCUUCAGAAGGUCUAGGUCCCAAUCAGCACAGGAACUUGUUCUGGAAGGCAUCCAGAAAAACUGGGAAUAGAAUUCAUGACAGAUGUGUAGAAGUGAAGGAGAGGUAGACUGUACAGUGUCAGCAGUGAGAAUACACAGUGCCACCAUGAAAGCAUCCAUUGCCCAAAGGGUCGUAGAAGUUGUGACUAUAUCAAAACCUGCUUAUCAACUGAUGAUCUUCCUCUGUAUUGCCCGUCAAAUGGACUGUCAUGGAACCACUACAAGGGUCAAAUGA